rnacentral:lncRNA from 1 species
UACUUGGACCUGCUGCAGAAGGCCUAUCUCGGAAAUUUGUUACCCGCUCAGAAUUCAGAGUAUGGUGUUCCCUUGGGUGGCAAAACUGGUGUAUCUAGUCCUCAUGGUUACUAUGGAAAUCCUGCUUUUGGGCUUGGAUUGUCAUAUCCUGGCAGUCCCUUGGCAAGCCCAGUAAUUCCCAAUGCAGCUGGAGGACCUGGCAGCCCCAUCAGGCAUGGAGACUUCAGUAUGAGAUACCCUGGCGGGCUGAGAAAUGCAGCUGGG